rnacentral:rRNA from 1 species
AGUGAACGCUGGCGGUAGGCCUAACACAUGCAAGUCGAACGGCAGCACAGUAAGAGCUUGCUCUUACGGGUGGCGAGUGGCGGACGGGUGAGGAAUACAUCGGAAUCUACUUUUUCGUGGGGGAUAACGUAGGGAAACUUACGCUAAUACCGCAUACGACCUACGGGUGAAAGCAGGGGAUCUUCGGACCUUGCGCGAUUGAAUGAGCCGAUAUCGGAUUAGCUAGUUGGCGGGGUAAAGGCCCACCAAGGCGACGAUCCGUAGCUGGUCUGAGAGGAUGAUCAGCCACACUGGAACUGAGACACGGUCCAGACUCCUACGGGAGGCAGCAGUGGGGAAUAUUGGACAAUGGGCGCAAGCCUGAUCCAGCCAUACCGCGUGGGUGAAGAAGGCCUUCGGGUUGUAAAGCCCUUUUGUUGGGAAAGAAAAGCAGCAGGUUAAUACCCCGCUGUUCUGACGGUACCCAAAGAUUAAGCACCGGCUAACUUCGUG